UUCUACUUCUGUUUUAUAGUGAUUGUAAAUUUGUAAGAUAAUCAAUUCCAAUUUCAAUAUCUUAUAAUCUCUGUCUGUUUCCUGGGUAAGUUAUAAUUCUUUGGAGUUUUGAAUUACCACAGAAGAAGUGGAUAGAUUUCUAGUAACAAAUGCUAUUCCCAAGCUUCACCCAAUUUUUAUCCACUUAGGUAAUCGCUGGAGCCCAAAGUCAGUAUUCUGUUUGUUUGUAUAAAUAUUGAGGAAUUCUUGAAACAAAUAGGAAUCUCAGAAAAUUUGGGGCCUCCCUUGAGAAUAUUAUUUGGGAAAUAUACCUUAUCUUAGUAGGAAAUUAUACAGAGAAAAAUUUAGGGACUGUUCAGUUAAUUAGUGAGUUGGAGGACCCUUUUCUUUGGGUGGACACUUUAGAAGGCAAUAUCUUACUUGCCUAUUGUUUGUUUCAAAAAGGCAAGAAAACUUUCUGUGUGCUUACAUGAGAUUAUUUCUUUAAUUUCUGUUUAGUACUGUGCUUGAUUUUGUAGAAAGGUAAUUUCAUUCCAUUUUAAUUUGUUACUGAUGGAUAUUAGUUGGAAAACUCAAGUUAGCAAGUCUCUGUAUUUAUGAAUGGAAAGUGUUAUGAACUCUGUGGGGGUUUAGGGUGUCCCUGAACAUGACCCGCUAGGAAGAGACAGGCAACUUUUUUGCCGGCAUUUGUAGUCUGCCGGAAAAGUGGGUUCUACCUCUAAGGAAGCAAGGAUGCUGAACUGGUUGAUGGCCUUCUGAUGAAAGAAAGUGAUAAUAAGUUGGUGAAGGCACGCUUCAGUGCUUUUUUUUUUUGGUAUAACCAUAGGUAUCUCCAAAGCCCAUUGGACUGGAACUAAAACUUCAGUGCAUUUUUUAAUACCCAUCUUCAUUCAUUUCUGUAGACUCAGAGGCUGAUCUCCUGUAACCUCUUAUGCUGAUCUCUUGAAAGCAAGUGAAUACGGGAGCCGAGCUCUGACCUCCAGCAACUCUGCAGCAGAUCUUGCCGAGCUCCCGUCUCUUUGAAGCCGGUCUCCUUUAACGAGUGUGAGCACUGUUCUACAAUGUGUGAACACAGUAGCCGGACUGCCGACCUCCUGCAACUCUCUCAAAACAAACUCACGAUAAUGUGAAUAUUGCUCUGUACAGAGUGUAAACUCCCUUUUAGAAAAAAUUAGCGGAUUGCCCUGUUUCCGCUUUUCAUUCUUAUUUAUACUGAAUCAAAUCAACCAUUACAAACUGAAAAGGAAAUUUACUCCGAGCUUGAAGCCACAUCGCACAAGACUCGGGUUACAGAAUGCGUGGGCAACUUACUCUUAACAAAUUAAAACAUGCAGAGCACGUGGGUACGUGCUUUAUUAAUAAAACAGAAAAAUAGUGCACGUGAGUACGUGCUUAACAAAAAAAAUGGCAUGAACGAGCUUACUUUCUUCAUUUCUCCCCCGUAAGCUUGUUCUUCACAUCUCCGAUCCCAAUCAUCACACUCAGCUUGUCGAUCUUGUCCCGAGACAGUGGCUUUGUCAGAAUGUCAGCCAGUUGUGCUUCAGUCUUGACAUAUUCGACUUCGACUUCUCCUUUCUGAACACAUUCCCGAAUAAAAUGAAACUUAAUGUCUAUAUGCUUCCUUCUGUUAUGAUAAACAGGAUUCUUUGUGAGCGCGAUUGCAGAUUUGUUGUCAACUCUUAAUACGAACUUGUUUGUCUUCCAACCGAUCAGCUCAUAUAACAGCCUACUAAUCCACGUGCCUUGACAAGUCCCUGUUGUUGCAGCAAUAUACUCAGCUUCACAUGAAGAUAAGGCUACGACUUUCUGAUUCUGUGAAAUCCAGGUGACAGGACUUUGGCCGAGAAAAUAGAUUACCCCUGUCGUACUUUUCCAAUCAUCUACGUCUCCGGCUAAGUCACUAUCGCUAUAGCCUACCAGCUUGAACUCCUCCUCUUCAACUUUGUUGUAAUUGCAGCCAUGAUGCAAAGUGCCUUUUACAUAGCAUAAUAUCUGUUUUACGGCCACCAGAUGUUUCGUUGUUGGGGCUUCCAUGAAUCGACUUACCAUCCCAACUGAAUAUGCGAGAUCGGGAUGAGUGUUCACCAAGUACCUUAGACUUCCGAUUGCACUCCUGUAUAGUGUUGCAUCUACCGAAGGACUUCCGUCUGAUUUGCUCAGCUUUACCCGUGUAUCCAUUGGAACCCGACAGGGCUUACACUCAGCCAUGCCAAGCUUUUCGAGUAUCUUCUCUGCAUACCCUGCCUGGUUAAGGGUGAUACUAUACGGCCUUUGCUUGACUUCUAUUCCCAGAUAGUAGCUUAGCUUUCCAAGAUCACUCAUCUCAAAGUUCUCUCUCAUCUUGGCUUUGAAAUCCUCCACUGCUCUCAGCUUUGAAUCCAUGAUUAUCAGAUCAUCUACGUACACUCCCACAAUCUGCACUUCAUCUCCUUUGUGUUUCUUGUAGACUGCAUGUUCGAUCACACAUCUUUGAAGCCCUAGUUCACGUAGACAUUUGUCUAGCUUUAUAUUCCAUGCACGAGGCGCCUGCUUAAGACCAUACAGGGCCUUCUGUAGCUUCAGAACCUUUCUUUCUUUCCCUUGUUCAACGAAUCCUUCUGGUUGUGUCACAUAAACCUCUUCUUCUAUCUCACCAUUCAAGAACGCGGAUUUGACAUCCAUAUGAUGCAUUAUCCAGCCUUCUUGAGCGGCUACAGCAAUUAAUACUCUCACAGUCUCCAGCCUGGCUACGGGAGCAAAGACUUCUUCAAAGUCUAUGCCUUGUUUCUGCACAUACCCCUUUGCAACAAGUCUCGCUUUAUAUUUAAUGAUCUCCCCUUCCGGAUUCUUCUUUACUUUGAAGAUCCAUUUCAGACCAAUAGCUUUCUGGUCCUUUAGGAGUUCUGCUAGUUCCCAUGUUUCGUUUCUCUGAAUAGCCUCCAUUUCUUCUAUCAUUGCUUGUCGCCAAUGUUCACUGCAGGCAGCUUUAUGGUAAGACGCUGGUUCUUCAAUUGACAUGAGGUAAAGACUGUAGUCUUGGUCGAUCUCCACUGUGUUGUCAUAAAUUUCUUGAAGAGUCCUGAACCUCCUUGGUCCCUCUGAGCUGCUUUCUCCUGUCUCUGAAUGUUCUAGACCUGACUCGGCUAUAGGUGAUAAGGAAGCUGGCGUCAGUUCCUGACUUUGGAGGUUUUUGUCUUCUUGUAUUUGUGCUUCCUUGUAUGUGAUGACAAGUGGUCCUUCUGUUGUGGAGUUUGAUGUUGUCUGGCCUGCCAUUUCCACUUCUCUUCUUCCUGAAACACAACAUCCCGACUUACCACAAUUCGAUUAGAAUUUGGAUUCAAUAACCGAUAUGCUUUGGACCCUGGUUCAUAUCCCAAUAAAACCAGCUUCAUGCUUCUAUCAUCCAAUUUUCUCAAGUGAGGAGCUGUGUUCUUGGCAUAUGCAAUGCAACCAAAAACACGCAUAUGAUGAACACUUGGGAGUCUUCCAUGCCACGCUUGAUACGGAGUCAUGCCUUGGACACUUCUUGUGGGUGAUCUGUUCAAUAUGUAUAUUGCAGUACGUGCAGUUUCUCCCCAGUAUGUAGCUGGCACCCCGGAGCUAUUUAAUAGACACCUCAUCAUCUCCACUACGGUUUGGUUUCUCCGUUCUACUACACCGUUUUGCUGUGGGGAGUAAGGUGCAGUGAGUUGGCGUUUAAUACCAUGUACCUUGUAGUACUCUCCGAACUCAUUUGAUGCAAACUCACCUCCUCUGUCUGUUCUAAACAUUUUGAGCUUACAUUCGGACUGGAUUUCGAUCUGAGCUUUCACUUUCUUGAAAGCAUUAAAAACUUCAUCUUUACUUCUAAGCAUUUCAAUCCACAUAUAACGACUGUAGUCGUCCACAAGCAAAAGGAAAUACCUGUUUCCGCCGCAUGUGGUAGGUGAUAUCGGCCCACACAGAUCACCAUGCAUGAGCUCCAGAGGUUUAGUUGCUUGAUACUCUCCUGCUUUCGGGAAACUUGUGCGAUGCUGCUUGCUGAUCAUACAGGGUUCACAAAUGUACUUCACUGUUUCUAUCUCCGGUAAACCUUUCACCAUGCUUGAUAGUUAAGAUGCCCAUAGCGUGCAUGCCAUAGACACGAUUUUUUUGACAACCUUGUCAAGUGGCACUCCAAUUUAGCUUGUAUCAUCCUCAUCGUAUACAGACGAUUUUCAGCUCUCUGGACCUUGGCUAUCAACCUGUCCUUUGCGUCAUAUACUCUGAGAAUUCCUCCAUUCACCACCACUUUUGCUCCUGAUUCGUCGAGUUGACCAAGGCUUAUAAUAUUGGAUCUUAAUCGAGGAAUGUAGUACACAUUUGUUAGUUUAAAAUGAUCUCCAUUCUUGCACUGAAACACUAAAGUACCUUGGCCUUCUACCUUGACGACGGAACCAUCACCGAACUUGACAUUCCCUUUUACUGUUUCAUCGAGAUCAGUUAAGGCCUGCUUGUUGCUUGUCAUAUGAUUGCUUGCCCCCAUAUCAUAGUACCACAUGGUUCCUUUCGUUUCUAUUCCUUCAAAGUCAUGCAUCUAUUCUUCAUUCAGCAUUAGCUCCUCUUCCUUCUCUUCACCGAUGUGAAUCAUCUCACUGGUUUCUAGCAUCAACAACGUCGACUCCUCUUCGAAUUGUUCCACUAAAUGUGCCUCAUUCUGUUUCUUCCUUUCAGCUUUACAAUCAGAUUGAAAAUGGACAUAUUCGUUGCAAUUGUAACACCUGACCUUUUUAAUGUCAAACUUCUGAUGGUGUUGUCCUUCAUCAUCCUGACCUCGGCCUGUUCCAGGAGGGCAACGACCUCUGCCGCGACCUCCUCCUCUGCCUCUGCCGCGUCCUCUACCACGUCCACUUCCGCGUCCUCGACCUCUACUCAUGUCCUGCGGACGCUUCUCAUUGGUUUUUGAGGACUCAGCUCGUGCUUUACACUCUCCUUUAGUAAGUAGCACGUGUUCGUCUAUUCUGGAGUCGUAGCUUCGCAACCUCUCUCGUGAGCUUUGAGAGAACCAGUUACUUCUUCAAUCGUCUUUACAGACAGAUUCCCGAAUUCUUCUAUGGUUGAGGCAAUCUGAAGAUACUUAGGGGACACUGAACGCAACAUUUUCUUUACUACAUAUGUUUUAUUAACCACUUCUCCACGUGCUCGGAGCUUGUUGACAACAGUUGAGAUUUUUCCGGUGAAGUCAUCGACAGACUCACCAUUUUCCAUUCUCAUGCUUUCGAGCUCCCAUCUAAGAGCUUGUGCUCGUACUUCUUUGACCCUCUCUGCACCGAGGUUCAUAACCUUGAGAGCAUCCCAUACCUCUUUAGCUGAUUUCUUUACCCCCAACUGUAACAGGGUGUCUUCGGUGAUCCCUUGAAAGAUUGCUGCCAAUGCAAUCCGGUCUGAACGUGGAUCAACUAGAUCUUCCGACUCAACGACAUCCCAAACACCUUGAGCUUGCAUAUAGACUUGCAUCUUGAUUGCCCAAGCUACAUAAUUUGUCUUUGUUAGGAGCGGAUACUGUAGAGAGACACCCCCUUCCUUUACGGGCGCUCUCACUACGGUUUUUGCCGUCUGACCAGUUUCUGUCGUCUGACCGCCAUUGCCGCCAUUGCCACUACAGACAGCACUCGACGAUGAUGAUUCGUGCCUAGGCAUGUAUUUGGGCAUAAACAAGGUCCCGGGCUCUGAUACCAAGUGUAGACUCAGAGGCUGAUCUCCUGUAACCUCUUAUGCCGAUCUCUUGAAAGCAAGUGAAUACGGGAGCCGAGCUCCGACCUCCAGUAACUCUGCAGCAGAUCUUGCCGAGCUCCCGUCUCUUUGAAGCCGGUCUCCUUUAACGAGUGUGAGCACUCUUCUACAAUGUGUGAACACUGUAGCCAGACUGCCGACCUCCUGCAACUCUCUCAAAACAAACUCACGAUAAUGUGAAUAUUGCUCUGUGCAGAGUGUAAACUCCCUUUUAGAAAAAAUUAGCGGCUUGCCUUGUUUUCGCUUUUCAUUCUUAUUUAUACUGAAUCAAAUCAACCAUUACAAACUGAAAAGGAAAUUUACUCCGAGCUUGAAGCCACAUCGCGCAAGACUCGAGUUACAGAAUACGUGGGCAACUUACUCUUAACAAAUUAAAACAUGCAGAGCACGUGGGUACGUGCUUUAUUAAUAAAACAGAAAAAUAGUGCACGUGAGUACGUGCUUAACAAAAAAAAUGGCAUGAACGAGCUUACUUUCUUCAAUUUCUUCAUACAGAGGGAAUUAAGAGUUUGGUGAUUGUUGGUAAGUGCAAUUUCAGGACUCCCGACCCUUCUAAAUUGAAUGACUUGAAGAGGUAUUGUUGAUAUUUGUGUGAUUUGAGUCAUUCCUACAUAUUUAGGUGUUCAAACUCCAAAUUGCACAGUCAGACUGUCCUUGAUGCGGUAGCAUUGAAUUACCAAAAUGUUUCUGUUGUUGUUGAUGCCACAGCGGCAGCUACACCUGAUAUACAUGUAGUUAUAUACUCUUAGAAUCGAAUGAGCAUGGCUUGUUCUAGGUAGAUAUUUAUCCUUUUCUUUCAAUUAAAACUUUCAAGAAUUUGACUUGCAUGCUGAAAAUGUAAUUGUGUUUAUAUAAGUUGGCUGCUGAUAUUGUGAUGCUCAUGGGCUUGAGAAUAAUUUUCUAAUUUCUAUGAGGAAGGUGAAAUUUAAGACUAAGGUUGAUGGUUUUGUUGCUAUCCGUUUAGUUCACUGGGAGACAUUGUCUUACUUGUUCCAUUGUACAGUAUAGUAUUUUCUUGUCCAAAAUCAGUAAUGGUCCAAUGGAUUUCGUUUGGCG
rnacentral:lncRNA from 1 species